rnacentral:lncRNA from 1 species
GAAGGAGAUGAUGGAGAAAAGACGCAGAGAGGAGGCUGAAGAAAAGGAGCACAAUGAAGAGGAGGAAAGGAGGCGUGUUGCUACGUACAGGGAGGGGAGAGAGAAGAAGCUUGAGCGUGCGCGCCGAGCGAAAGCAGCGAUGGAGGAGAAUCCCGAUGCCCUGAGGAAGGGAAAGUGGCCUCAUUGCACUCAGUACUCUCCAUUACUUGCUAGUUCUAUGGACUUUUCAUUGUGUUAUCAUGUAAUGCACUUUAAGUAUGGGCAUGCUUAGGUCAUGUACUGCAAUGCGUAGACAUAUUGUCAUGUAAUGCACUUUAACUUGGACUAGUUUAUUGUUUAGUUGUUAGCAGUAGAGGGGUGAAGAAACAAGAUCUGCUUUGCACACAUCUUUGGCUGCACUCAACACA